rnacentral:rRNA from 1 species
GACAGAGGGUGCAAACGUUGUUCGGAAUUACUGGGCGUAAAGCGCGUGUAGGCUGCUCCGAUAGUCGGAUGUGAAAGCCCUGGGCUCAACCUAGGAAGUGCAUUCGAUACUCCGGAGCUCGAGCCUGGAGAGGAAGGCGGAAUUCUCGGUGUAGAGGUGAAAUUCGUAGAUAUCGGAGAGGAACACCGGUGGCGAAGGCGGCCUUCUGGACGAGUGACUGACGCUGGAGACGCGAAAGCGUGGGGAGGCAA